AUGUUUCCACUGCCUUUGUUGCUUCUUCUGCUGCAUUCGCUCUGGCCAGCAUCAAGCAUUUCAGCCUUCUCAGCUGCAGAGAUAUUCAGCAUCAGCAAUGAGACUGACAUGGAUUCCUUGCUGGCACUCAAGACUAGUCUCGGUGACCAGUCAGGUGUGCUAUCCUCCUGGAACGCAAGUGGUGACUUGUGUCGAUGGCUAGGUGUGGUAUGCAGCCUCAGACACAAGCAAAGGGUCUUGAAACUGAAUCUCUCCUCGGCUGGCCUCUUCGGCACAAUUGCUCCUUCCAUUGGGAACCUCACGUACCUCGCUCAUGUAGACCUCAGUUCAAAUGCACUUCAUGGUGGAUUUCCGGCGACGAUUGGGCGCCUGCAUCGGUUGCGGUAUCUUGACUUGUCACACAACUCACUUCAAGGCGAGAUCCCAGAUAGCUUGAUGAACUGCACCAAAUUUACAAGCAUCGCCCUUUAUUCCAACCGACUCACCGGAGAAAUCCCUGCUUGGCUUGGAGGUUUAUCCAACCUUGAGUACAUUUACCUAGAAGCCAACAACUUCACUGGGGCCAUCCCGCCAUCACUCGCCAACCUCUCGUCCCUGCAGGAACUCUAUUUCUCACGAAACCAUCUUGAGGACACCAUUCCUGAGGGCAUUGGUAGGCUCGGUAUGCUUCAGUACGUUGCACUGGGAGAAAACCACCUCGUGGGCACCAUCCCCGCAACUUUCUUCAACCUUUCUUCGCUGGCUCAGCUCGGAGUGACAAACAAUGAACUUGAGGGAACGCUGCCGUCUAACCUGGGGAAUAACUUGCCAAAUCUCCAGGCCCUCUACCUUGACUUAAACCACUUCACAGGAAGAGUUCCAGCUUCACUAGCAAAUGUGACCACCGUAGAUGUUCUAGACAUCUCGCUCAAUAACUUCACUGGAAAAUUGCCUCCAGAGAUUGGAAAGCUCUGCCCGGAUAUCUUAUCUCUCAGCAGAAACCAACUUGAGAUAAGCACUGUUCAGGACUGGGAGUUCAUCACCUUCUUGUCCAACUGCACAUACCUCCGUGUACUUGAUCUUGGUUACAACCAUUUUACUGGGGAACUUCCGAGCUCAUUUGCCAACCUGUCAGCUCAUCUCCAGCUGUUGUCGGUUGAAGCAAACGAUAUCUAUGGGAAGAUACCUGUCCACAUUGGCAACCUUUUGGGGCUACUUGAGGUGUCAUUUUCCAACAACCGAUUUGCUGGAGUCCUACCUGACAGCAUUGGAAGGCUAAAAAUGCUAACAGUAUUGGACCUCCAAAAUAACCUACUAUCGGGGAUCAUUCCGUCAUCGCUUGGGAACCUAACACAGAUGCAACAGUUGUUUGUGAAUGGGAAUAACUUUGAGGGACCUAUUCCACGAAGCCUUGGGAACCUGCAACAGUUAAUUACUGCAAACUUUUCGAGCAACCAGUUCACCAGUUCAUUGCCUAGAGAGAUUUUUAGCAUACCAUCUUUGUCAAAUGCUCUUGAUUUGUCAAACAAUCAUUUGGUUGGUAUUCUUCCGUCUGAAGUUGGCAUACUCAAGAAGGCCACCUUCUUGUACUUGUCUCGAAACAACUUGUCUGGGGUACUGCCCGAUGCUUUGAGCAACUGCCAAAGCUUGGUGGGCCUCCAUUUGGACAGCAACUCCUUUAGCGGCAGCAUCCCUAUGCCUAUGAGCAAUGUGCAUGGUUUGGUAAUAUUAAACCUCUCAAGAAACAAGCUUUCAGGCAUGAUUCCUCAAGAAUUAGGACGCAUGAAGGGACUAGAAAAGUUGCAUCUUGCACACAACUACUUAUCUGGAAAGAUCCCCGAGUCAUUCGAAAACAUGACCAAACUGUACCAAUUGGACUUAUCCUUCAACCAUUUGGAGGGUAAAGUUCCAGUGCAUGGUGUGUUUGCUAACAUAAGUGGAUUCUCCUUUGCUGGGAACAAUGGUCUCUGUGGUGGUAUCCUGCAACUGCACUUGCCUUCAUGUCCAGCUGAACCUUCAAAGCAUAGUCAAAGGAAACAUCAUGUCAUUCUAAAAGCAGUGAUUCCAGUCGCUAGCAUCAUAUUGUUCACAAUAUUAACAUUUUUAUCAUUUUUCUUGAGAAAGAAAUUGAGAGGUCGGUCGAUAGAAAAAACAAAAACUGCUCCACCAUUAAUGAAUGAAAUGUACCCUAGAGUUUCUUACGAUGAACUUGUCCAAGGAACAGAUGGUUUUGCUAGAAACAAUUUGAUCGGCAUAGGAAGAUAUGGUUCAGUGUAUAAGGGGAAUUUACUGCUGAAGAAUACAAUAACUGAAGUUGCUAUUAAGGUUUUUGAUCUUCAGCAGCCUCACUCUUCCAGGAGUUUUCUAGCAGAGUGUGAGGUGCUCAGUAAGGUCCGCCAUCGUAAUUUGGACAGUGUGAUAACCUGCUGUGCUAGCUUGGACUCGAAGAGGAAUGACUUCAAAGCCCUUGUGCUUGAAUUCAUGCCUAACGGGAGCCUAGAUACGUGGUUGCAUCCAAGUCUACAUGUACAAGAGAGGCAAUGCUUGAAGCUGAUGCAAAGGUUGAACAUUGUUGUUGAUAUUGCUGAUGCACUCGACUACCUGCAUAACAACUGUGAGCCACCAAUUGUACACUGUGACCUGAAGCCAAGCAACAUCCUUCUUGAUGAGAAUUUGGGUGCCCAUAUUGGGGAUUUUGGUCUUGCAAAGAUCCUUUCAAAUCCAGUUGGUGAGAAACCGAUCAGAUCGAAAAGUACCAUCGCCAUACGAGGAACCAUUGGAUAUGUUGCACCAGAAUAUGGGGAAGGUGGUCAAGUAUCUGUGCGCGGAGAUGUGUACAGCUUCGGAAUUGUCCUCCUCGAGAUGUCUACUGGGAAGUCACCUACUCAUGACAUGUUCAGGGACGGGUUAACGUUGCAGAACUAUGUGGAGGCGGCAUUCCCUGAUGGGCUUAUGAAGGUCUUUGAUCCAUUAUUGUUGGCAACAGAAGAAGUUCCUGCGAAUGAUUUGUGUGAGGGAAGCAGCUCACUCAGAGAUCCAUGUAAUGUCCUGACCUUCGUUACAAGAGUGGCACUGCUGUGUUGUAAUCAAGCACCAGCAGAAAGGAUGCUUAUGAGAGAUGCUGCAGCCGAGCUCCACAGGAUCAGGGCUCGACCCAUCACAACACCAAUUGAUCAGUUUGUUCUUGAGUGA
rnacentral:rRNA from 1 species